GGUUGUCAAGCCUCUGCUUAAAGACCUCCAAAGAAGGAGACUCCACCACACUCCUUGGCAGCAAAUUCCACUGUCGAACAGCUCUUACUGUCAGGAAGUUCUUCCUAAUGUUUAGGUGGAAUCUUCUUUCUUGUAGUUUGUAGUUUGCUCCGUGUCCGCUUCUCUGGAGCAGCAGAAAACAAUCUUUCUCCCUCCUCUAUGUGACAUCCUUUUAUAUAUUUGAACAUGGCUAUCAUAUCACCCCUUAACCUCCUCUUCUCCAGGCUAAACAUGCCCAGCUCCCUUAGCCGUUUCUCAUAAGGCAUCGUUUCCAGGCCUUUGACCAUUUUGGUUGCCCUCCUCUGGACACGUUCCAGUUUGUCAGUGUCCUUCUUGAACUGUGGUGCCCAGAACUGGACACAGUACUCCAGGUGAGGUCUGACCAGAGCAGAAUACAGUGGCACUAUUACUUCCCUUGAUCUAGAUGCUAUACUCCUAUUGAUGCAGGCCCAGAAUUGCAUUGGCUUUUUAGCUGCCGCGUCACACUGUUGGCUCAUGUCAAGUUAGUGGUCAACCAAGACUCCUAGAUCCUUUUCACAUGUACUGCUCUCAAGCCAGGUGUCACCCAUCUUGUAUUUGUGCCUCUCAUUUUUUUUGCCCAAGUGCAAUACUUUACAUUUCUCCCUGUUAAAAUUCAUCUUGUUUGUUUUGGCCCAGUUCUCUAAUCUGUCAGUUCUCUAAUCUGUCAUGUUCUUCCACAGUGGGGACAUAGGUUUUCGGGCAGGAGUUGAUCACAGUGAGGGUUUACCAAAUGUGCCUUCCUCUUAGCUCAUUUCUCCCUUUCCUCCUGAGUUUGUGUUUCUUCAAAGUCCAUGACUCCUUUGGUAGAAACUAUUAUCCAAUUGGGGUGCUCGCAGGCCAGCGUUUCCCAAUUUUCUGUGCUUAUAUUGCAUUUUUAAAAAGAUUUGCCUUGAGAGCAUCUUUAAAUCUCAUUUGUUGUCCAUCGGUAUUUCACCUUCCAUUCUUAAGUUGGGUAUAGUUGCUUUGGAAGACGAUAAUCAGGCAUCUGAGCAACAUGACCAGUUCAACGAAGCUGAUGUUGAAGAAUCAUUGCUUUGACACUGGUGAUCUUUGCUUCUUCCAGCAGUCACACAGCAAGGUGGUUGGGGAAGAGGGGUGGCAGGCAGGCAGGCAGCCUCUUCAAAGAGCAGCACAGGGCUAUUUGCAAAAGGGCCUUGGCUGUGUGUGCCUGUUCCCAGCAAGGGAACAUGCACAGCCAAACUGACCAGGAAUGACUCUCUGGUGAGCAGAAGUGUGUAUUUCUGCUGCAACUGGUUUUGACAACAGGCACGUGGCAUGAAAGAUUCCAGAAGAAGGCUGGGGAGGUUCCUGUUAAACCUCUGCUGGUAGGAAGCUCCACUGGGAAAGGUCUGUCACACUAAAGGGUCCAUCUGUCAUGGAGGCCAACCCAGCCUCCUGGAUGGGGGACCCAGCAGAAGUGGCCCAGCAGAGGAUUUCAGUGAUCGAGGUGGAGCAUAAGGAAUCUUUAAGGGCUUCCUGCUCAGGAGAAAUAUCUGAACGUUUCUAAGCAAGCCAAAGUGAUGCUGGCGGUUAGGCCAUCUGGUGCACUGGUCACCCCACUUGUGUCAAAGCCUGUAUUGCUGAGCAGCCUGCUUGCUCCAGGAAACUAACAAGAUGAAGACAUCCCAUUAGAAGUUAGCUUUUGCAAACAUGAAGUUCUCACAGAUGGAUCUAUUUUCCAGAGUGCCAUACUGUACAUCAUAUAUUCCCAAAGCAUCUGUUCCACAAAACAAAUUGGCAGAAGCUUGUCUCCUUGAUGACAAUGCAUUCUGUGGAGCAGAUGAUAUAUGAAAUAAUCUUGACUUUUUUUAAUACACUGCAUGUGAAGGGUUUUUUAUUGCUAUAAUAAGGACAAAUCUGUCAAGAGUUAGCACAAUUUUUGCACAACAUGUAUCAUUUCAUUUCCUGUGCAAAUUAUUCCCAUAAAGCAUCCCACUAAUUGCUCCUAUAUUAACCUCUCACUAUAGUUGAAUGAAGAAACAGGAUGCUUCAUGUACUCAGACAACAUUAUCUUUGUGAAGAAAAAGUUAAAUAUGGCUUAGGAUUUUGUUCUAUACCGUACAGAGUAAAUAUGAACUGUGAGCAUAAUUCAACAGAAAUUCCUCCUGCUCCUCAAGUCAUAUUCAUUUCACACAGACUUGCACAGGAAAUUUUCCUCAAGGGCUUGCACCCUUUCUUUCUCCCUCUAGUCUCUUAAUUUGGUGUAAAUGCAGAACUUGUGACCUUCCCACCAGCCCAGCAUCCUGUUUCUGAAAGUGGCCAACAAGACGCCUCUGGCAAGCCCACAGGCAGGAUUUCAUGCAAAUAGCCCUCUCCUGCUCUUGCUUCUAGCAGUUGUUUUUUUGAAGGCCCAGGGCUUCUGAACCUGGAGGUAGUGCAUAGCCAUUAUUACUAGUAGCCAUUUAUAGACUUAAGCUCUGCAAAGUUAUCUAAUCAUCUUUUGGAGCCACCUAGGGGACGCACCACAGAGCCUAGGACUUGCCGAUCAGAAGGUUGGCGGUUCGAAUCCCCGCGACGGGGUGAGCUCCCGUUGCUCGGUCCCUGCUCCUGCCAACCUAGCAGUUCAAAAGCACCUCAAAGUGCAAGUAGAUAAAUAGGCACCACUCCAGCGGGAAGGUAAAUGGCGUUUCCGUGCGCUGCUCUGGUUCGCCAGAAGUGGCUUAGUCAUGCUGGGCACAUGACCCGGAAGCUGUACGCCGGCUCCCUUGGCCAAUAAAGCGAGAUGAGUGCCACAACCCCAGAGUCGGCCACGAUUGGACCUAAUGGUCAGGGGUCCCUUUACCUUUACUUUAAGCAUCACCACACCUUGUGGCAGAUAAUUCCAUAAAUAAAUUUUAUGUUGUCUGAAGAAGAAGCCUCAUAAUAAGUAUUGCUCUUGGUUCUUGGGAACUCACAACUUUGUUUUCUGAGACAAGGUGAAUAGAUGUUUACAAUGCAUAGGUUUGGAUAGUACGAAUGGGUCACCUUGCCUAACAACUCAUCCCUAAGACAUCUUGAACCAGAAGUCCCACCAUUCUACAAAAAGCUCCAGGGAAGAGUAUUUUAUCAAAAGAUGACACUACAAGAGGCCAGUGAGCAGCCAAAUCCCCCACUUCCUCUCUCUUCCAUACACACACACACACCUGAAAAGAUUUUACAGUUCCAUCAACCUACUAUAGAUUAGGCCAGGCACUGCAAGAACAAAUCACUGAACUAUGAACAUGUGUGGGAUAAGAAACUCCCCACCCCCCAUUUCUUGCCUUAUCAUGGCUUUGGAGAUAUCCCAGUACAGCGGUAUGCCAAAUUGGAUAGCAGUACCAUACUUUGAAAAAAGUGCAGGUGGCUUCACAUCUCUUUCCAUUAACAAGUUUUAUCCAUGCUUGAAUGGGAUUAUACUUUGAAUUAUAUUAUUCUGCAUAUUUCAAAGUGAAGUUUGAAGCUGAUAAACAACGAAAAAGAGCCCAGUUAAUCUGAUAGGAAUCUGUUUCUGGCACUAUUUUGUAAGUCUCAAAUUCAAGAAAGAAAAAGAUGGAUAUGAAACAAUUUAAUCUUACUAUUUUAAAAUGCAUUUUACAUUUGGAGAAAUAGUUAAUGCUUAUUCUUUUUACAUUUCUAUCCUAUAUCCAUUGGGAUUAAGGAUGCAUUCAUGGAGCUAUUAUUAAGACUGAAGUCUAACUGGUUGGUUAAUUAAUGAAAGUUUUACUGAGGGGAGUAUUUAUGAACACUUUUAAGAGUUAUGUUGAUUCUAGCAUUAUUAUAAUAAGGAGUGGGAAAAUAUUUAGAAUGGCCUCUCCUAAGUAUUGGCCACAACUUUUUUUUCUUCUUACACUUCCUUCAUUAUAUAAAAAAGUCAUCUACUUUUUUGAAAUAGACAUUGUCAGUUAGCUAAUUUAUUGGCUAAAAGGCAAGUGAAUAAUCUAUUGCUAUUUAGUUUUAUCCUCGCAAUGUACCUGCAAUACAGCUCAGACUAAGCUUCACUUGUGUGCCCUUUAUUGCUAAUUAACCCCAUUGAACCCUGUGAAACCUACACCUUAGUUAACAUGUACUACGAUUACUCAAGAAACCUGAUGCUACCUAAGUAAUGUAAACAAAUAGAAUAAUGCAAUUGAUUUGGACCUAGAGAUACUGUACACAUUUGUGCUUUUUCUCUCUCAGUACGAAAACAACGUAUUCAAAGACAAGCAUUGUGAAUCUGUAGCAGAUUUCUUGACAAUAUUACCAUUGAGCCCAUGGGGUACAACAGUGACUUAGUGUGCAGGGUGAGUUGCAUGCAAUAUGCUACAAGGAUCUUUUGUUGUUGUUGUUUAGUCGUGUCUGCCUCACAUAUGCAUAAUUAAAGCUACAGAAUUCCUCUUCCACUCCUGAGGAGGAAAGCAAGAGAUCUGGGACUCACCCAGACUCCCUUUUGGGCCACACAUUCCAGGCACAGGAAAGCUCUUUGCCUGAGUGACUUUUUUGUUUGUUUGUUCCAGAGCAUUCCCCAAUAAACCCAUGUUUUACUGCUGAAUCAGUGCAAACAUCUUUGGGAGAAGAAAAGGGCUCAGCAAUGAUGGGUAGUUAUCUUUACAUUCUUUUCGUACCACCCUGGUACGUUCUGUUCACCUUGAGUUCACACCAUAUCAAUCUGUACUUAUCCCUCUGUGUACAUUCCUUUCGUACCACCCUGGAACGUGCAGUCCAUUAGUAGCACCAUAUCAAUCAUAUACGAAGGAGAUCAUGCCUGUCUAAACUCUGCGUUCCUUUUUCCAACCUUUAACCUAUCGAUGACUAAUGUCUUAUAUGCAACCCUUGCUUUGUACUUAUGUUAACCAAUCAGCAACAAGCACAUAUGUGGCAAUUCUGUAAUAUUCAAUAAAAGGGACUCCCCGACACAUGUUGGGGAGAUGCCUCCCGUAUGACACCUACCACUCGUCUGUCGUUUAUUUCAACCCACCACAGCAAUAAACCCUAUGCAAAUGCGAAGUGGAGUCCUCGGAUGGCUGGAUGGCGCCUUGUACGCCUCCUUCCGGCAACUCCUGCAGCCAAGCUGGUGCCAAACAUCUUGCUCUGCUUUCCUUUGGACCACAUCAGGCCAAGGUCUUGUCGUCUGGGCAGCCCAGGACCUCCAGACAUACUCCCCAGGCGUAUGUCCUGGAGACGUCACUGCAGUGCUCCUAAUGCAGCAAAAACAAUGUGGGAGGCAGCAGCCAUGACUUAGAAUCAUAUAAUCAUAGAGUUGGAAGAGACCACAAGGGCCAUCGAGUCCAACCCCCUGCCAAGCAGGAAACACCAUCAGAGCACUCCUAACAUAUGGUUGUCAAGCUUCUGCUUAAAGACCUCCAAAGAAGGAGACUCCACCACACUCCUUGGCAGCCAAUUCCACUGUUGAACAGCUCUUACUGUCCGGAAGUUCUUCCUAAUGUUUAGGUGGAAUCUUCUUUCUUGUAGUUUGGAUCCAUUGCUCCGUGUCCGCUUCUCUGGAGCAGCAGAAAACAACCUUUCUCCCUCCUCUAUGUGACAUCCUUUUAUAUAUUUGAACAUGGCUAUCAUAUCACCCCUUAACCUCCUCUUCUCCAGGCUAAACAUGCCCAGCUCCCUUAGCCGUUCCUCAU